AGCAGACCCGCGAACACGUUUCAAACAACCGCGGGAGGACGUCGUGCGUGCAACCGACCGCGUUGCUCCACGCCGAAGCCCCGUUCCCGUCGGUUCGCGCACUCGUGCGCGUCGCACGGCCUAACGAACCCCGGCGCGAAAAGCGUCAAGGAACACUCAAAACGCCGCCCGCCCUCGGUGCCCCGUUCGCGGCGUGCACCCGGGGGAUCGGACGCGUGUCGAAAUUAAAACGACUCUCGGCAACGGAUAUCUUGGCUCUCGCAUCGAUGAAGAACGCAGCAAAAUGCGAUACUUGGUGUGAAUUGCAGAAUCCCGUGAACCAUCGAGUUUUUGAACGCAAGUUGCGCCCGAAGCCAUUAUGCCGAGGGCACGUCUGCCUGGGCGUCACGCACAUCGUCGCCCUCCGCCUCGGCCCGUGAAGGGAUCGCGGGCGUUGGGUCGGAUAUUGGCCCCCCGUGCGCCUCGGCGCGCGGCCGGCCCAAAUGUGAUUCGGCAUCGACGCGUGCCGCGACGAUUGGUGGUUGAAGAACUCAACUCGCGCGUUGUCGCGGCGUCGUUCGGCCCGAACGUGUUGACCCCGACGGUGCAUCGCACCUC
rnacentral:rRNA from 1 species